rnacentral:rRNA from 1 species
AUGCAGAAGGACUACUUUGCUCCGAACACAACUUUCCCGGAUGAUCCAUGGUUUCGUCGCCGUUUUCGCAUGCCAAAACCAUUGUUUUUGCUUAUUGUGGAGGGAGUGGAGGCACGCGAUGACUACUGCAACCUCAUAAGGGAUUGCUGCGGCCAACUAUCUUUCUGUGCUAAGCAGAAAUGCACGGCUGCUCUGAGGAUGCUUGCACUUGGUACUGCCGCAUAUGCCGUUGAUGAGAUGGUUAGAAUGGGGGAGAGCACAUGCCUCGAGACUACUGUCAAGUUUGCCUGUGCCGUGGUGCGGGUGUUUGACAAAGUAUCUGAGAGGGCCAACGCAGAAAAUUUGUUGGUUAUUGAAGAGGCCAGAGGGUUUUCAGGAAUGGUCGAAUCAAUUGAUUGCAUUCACUGGCAAUGGAAGAACUGCCCCCAAAGGUUUGCAGGGAAUGUAUCAAUGUCACACCAAUGA